rnacentral:rRNA from 1 species
AGUCGAGGGGCAGCAUUUCAGUUUGCUUGCAAACUGGAGAUGGCGACCGGCGCACGGGUGAGUAACACGCUAUCCAACCUGCCGAUAACUCGGGGAUAGCCUUUCGAAAGAAAGAUUAAUACCCGAUGGUAUAAUCAGACCGCAUGGUCUUNUUAUUAAAGAAUUUCGGUUAUCGAUGGGGAUGCGUUCCAUUAGGCAGUUGGUGAGGUAACGGCUCACCAAACCUUCGAUGGAUAGGGGUUCUGAGAGGAAGGUCCCCCACAUUGGAACUGAGACACGGUCCAAACUCNUACGGGAGGCAGCAGUGAGGAAUAUUGGUCAAUGGGCGCAGGCCUGAACCAGCCAAGUAGCGUGAAGGAUGACUGCCCUAUGGGUUGUAAACUUCUUUUAUAUGGGAAUAAAGUUUUCCACGUGUGGAAUUUUGUAUGUACCAUAUGAAUAAGGAUCGGCUAACUCCGUGCCAGCAGCCGCGGUUAAUACGGAGGAUCCGAGCGUUAUCCGGAUUUAUUGGGUUUAAAGGGAGCGUAGGUGGACAGUUAAGUCAGUUGUGAAAGUUUGCGGCUCAACCGUAAAAUUGCAGUUGAUACUGGCUGUCUUGAGUACAGUAGAGGUGGGCGGAAUUCGUGGUGUAGCGGUGAAAUGCUUAGAUAUCACGAAGAACUCCGAUUGCGAAGGCAGCUCACUGGACUGCAACUGACACUGAUGCUCGAAAGUGUGGGUAUCAAACAGGAUUAGAUACCCUGGUAGUCCACACAGUAAACGAUGAAUACUCGCUGUUUGCGAUAUACAGUAAGCGGCCAAGCGAAAGCAUUAAGUAUUCCACCUGGGGAGUACGCCGGCAACGGUGAAACUCAAAGGAAUUGACGGGGGCCCGCACAAGCGGAGGAACAUGUGGUUUAAUUCGAUGAUACGCGAGGAACCUUACCCGGGCCUAAAUUGCAUUUGAAUAUUUUGGAAACAGUNUAGCCGNAAGGCAAAUGUGAAGGUGCUGCAUGGUUGUCGUCAGCUCGUGCCGUGAGGUGUCGGCUUAAGUGCCAUAACGAGCGCAACCCUUAUCUUUAGUUACUAACAGGUCAUGCUGAGGACUCUAGAGAGACUGCCGUCGUAAGAUGUGAGGAAGGUGGGGAUGACGUCAAAUCAGCACGGCCCUUACGUCCGGGGCUACACACGUGUUACAAUGGGGGGUACAGAAGGCAGCUACCUGGUGACAGGAUGCUAAUCCCAAAAGCCUCUCUCAGUUCGGAUCGAAGUCUGCAACCCGACUUCGUGAAGCUGGAUUCGCUAGUAAUCGCGCAUCAGCCAUGGCGCGGUGAAUACGUUCCCGGGCCUUGUACACACCGCCCGUCAAGCCAUGAAAGCCGGGGGUACCUGAAGUACGUAACCGCAAGGAG